UGGGGAAUAUUGGACAAUGGGCGCAAGCCUGAUCCGGCAAUGCCGCGUGUGUGAAGAAGGCCUUCGGGUUGUAAAGCACUUUUAUCAGGAGCGAAACGCUGUCGGCUAAUACCCGGCGGAACUGACGGUACCUGAGGAAUAAGCACCGGCUAACUUCGUGCCAGCAGCCGCGGUAAUACGAAGGGUGCAAGCGUUAAUCGGAAUUACUGGGCGUAAAGCGUGCGUAGGCGGUUUCUUAAGUCUGCUGUGAAAUCCCCGGGCUCAACCUGGGAAUGGCAGUGGAUACUGGGAGGCUAGAGUGUGUCAGAGGGUGGUGGAAUUCCCGGUGUAGCGGUGAAAUGCGUAGAGAUCGGGAGGAACAUCAGUGGCGAAGGCGGCCACCUGGGACAACACUGACGCUGAGGCACGAAAGCGUGGGGAGCAAACAGGAUUAGAUACCCUGGUAGUCCACGCCCUAAACGAUGCGAACUGGAUGUUGGUCUCAACUCGGAGAUCAGUGUCGAAGCUAACGCGUUAAGUUCGCCGCCUGGGGAGUACGGUCGCAAGACUGAAACUCAAAUGAAUUGACGGGGUCAUAGCUGUUUCCUG
rnacentral:rRNA from 1 species